rnacentral:misc_RNA from 1 species
AGUCAUCAGCCCUUCCCAUUUCGCCGUGGGACGGGUUGGACGUUGGGGGACUGCUGCCGUGAGGCGGCUCCCCUCAAAUCUCUCGGUUGGGCCUGUGGGUCAAACUCGACUGGGCGUCGUACCAUCCUCGCUCGACAGGGUCCACCCCCGUUCCGCGCCCCUCCCCGACCCGCCCGUGCGGCGGGUCAACGUUUUGAAAU